rnacentral:rRNA from 1 species
GGAUGACCUCGGAUCAGG